GACGAACGCUGGCGGCGUGCUUAACACAUGCAAGUCGAACGGUAAGGCUCCAGCUUGCUGGGGUACACGAGUGGCGAACGGGUGAGUAACACGUGGGUGACCUGCCCUGCACUUCGGGAUAAGCCUGGGAAACUGGGUCUAAUACCGGAUAGGACCGCACCGUGAGGGUGUGGUGGAAAGUUUUUUCGGUGUGGGAUGGGCCCGCGGCCUAUCAGCUUGUUGGUGGGGUAAUGGCCUACCAAGGCGGCGACGGGUAGCCGGCCUGAGAGGGUGGACGGCCACAUUGGGACUGAGACACGGCCCAGACUCCUACGGGAGGCAGCAGUGGGGAGUAUUGCACAAUGGGCGGAAGCCUGAUGCAGCGACGCCGCGUGGGGGAUGACGGCCUUCGGGUUGUAAACUCCUUUCACCAUCGACGAAGGGUUUCUGACGGUAGAUGGAGAAGAAGCACCGGCUAACUACGUGCCAGCAGCCGCGGUAAUACGUAGGGUGCGAGCGUUGUCCGGAAUUACUGGGCGUAAAGAGCUCGUAGGUGGUUUGUCGCGUCGUCUGUGAAAUUCCGGGGCUUAACUCCGGGCGUGCAGGCGAUACGGGCAUAACUUGAGUACUGUAGGGGAGACUGGAAUUCCUGGUGUAGCGGUGAAAUGCGCAGAUAUCAGGAGGAACACCGGUGGCGAAGGCGGGUCUCUGGGCAGUAACUGACGCUGAGGAGCGAAAGCAUGGGGAGCGAACAGGAUUAGAUACCCUGGUAGUCCAUGCCGUAAACGGUGGGCGCUAGGUGUGGGUUUCCUUCCACGGGAUCCGUGCCGUAGCUAACGCAUUAAGCGCCCCGCCUGGGGAGUACGGCCGCAAGGCUAAAACUCAAAGGAAUUGACGGGGGCCCGCACAAGCGGCGGAGCAUGUGGAUUAAUUCGAUGCAACGCGAAGAACCUUACCUGGGCUUGACAUAUACAGGAUCGCGCCAGAGAUGGUGUUUCCCUUGUGGCUUGUAUACAGGUGGUGCAUGGUUGUCGUCAGCUCGUGUCGUGAGAUGUUGGGUUAAGUCCCGCAACGAGCGCAACCCUUGUCUUAUGUUGCCAGCACGUUGUGGUGGGGACUCGUAAGAAACUGCCGGGGUUAACUCGGAGGAAGGUGGGGAUGACGUCAAAUCAUCAUGCCCCUUAUGUCCAGGGCUUCACACAUGCUACAAUGGUCGGUACAGUGGGUUGCCAGUCCGUGAGGGCGAGCUAAUCCCGCAAAGCCGGUCUCAGUUCGGAUCGGGGUCUGCAACUCGACCCCGCGAAGUCGGAGUCGCUAGUAAUCGCAGAUCAGCAACGCUGCGGUGAAUACGUUCCCGGGCCU
rnacentral:rRNA from 1 species